GAUGAACGCUAGCUACAGGCUUAACACAUGCAAGUCGAGGGGCAGCAUGAACUUAGCUUGCUAAGUUUGAUGGCGACCGGCGCACGGGUGAGUAACACGUAUGCAACCUGCCCGCCACAGGGGGAUAAGCGGAAGAAAUUCCGUCUAAUACCGCGUGACGCGGCGCCGGGGCAUCCCGGUGCCGCCAAAGGGAUUACCGGUGGCGGAUGGGCAUGCGGCGCAUUAGCUAGUCGGCGGGGUAACGGCCCACCGAGGCGACGAUGCGUAGGGGUUCUGAGAGGAAGGUCCCCCACACUGGUACUGAGACACGGACCAG
rnacentral:rRNA from 1 species